CGCAGCCGCGGUAAUUCCAGCUCCAAUAGCGUAUAUUAAAGUUGUUGCAGUUAAAAAGCUCGUAGUUGAAUUUCGGGGUCAGUAGGUUGGUCGUGCCACCGGUACGUACUGGUCUCACUGAUUCCUCCUUCCUGAUGAGCUGUAAUGCCAUUAAUUUGGUGUUGCAGGGAAUCUGGACUGUUACUUUGAAAAAUUAGAGUGUUUAAAGCAGGCUAACGCUUGAAUACAUUAGCAUGGAAUAAUGAAAUAGGACGUUCGAUCCUAUCUUGUUGGUUUCUAGGAUUGACGUAAUGAUUAAUAGGGAUAGUUGGGGGCAUUAGUAUUCAAUUGUCAGAGGUGAAAUUCUUGGAUUUAUUGAAGACUAACUACUGCGAAAGCAUUUGCCAAGGAUGUUUUCAUUAAUCAAGAACGAAAGUUAGGGGAUCGAAGGCGAUCAGAUACCGUCGUAGUCUUAACCAUAAACUAUGCCGACUAGGGAUCGGAUGAUGUUAAUUUUUUAAUGUACUCAUUCGGCUAACCG
rnacentral:rRNA from 1 species